GCAACUCUCCUUCAAAAACCUCCAUUAACGCCAGCUGCAAAUCAGCGACAGAACAACAAGGAACACUGGCCAUUGUCGCACCUUUUAAACCGCGAAAAUCCGCCGCCAAACACUAGUCAAGAGUGUUGCUGAACAACACAAAAACCAUCUGGAAACAGUGGCUCAAAUGUUACCUUUUUCGCCGAGAAACAGUCUUGAAGUAGUCCCAAAAACCAUUUCAGCCGAGCUUUGAGGUUGUUAGCGAGAUGGUCAUUCAUGGUUCCUGUCGGAGUUUCUGUUGCGACGUUUGUUUCCUAUUCGGUUCAGAAGCUAUCUUUUGCUGUUGUAUGAAUAUUGCUGAGCCACACUUGUUUUGAUUUCUGCCACAUUCGGCUCAUUUCAGUGCUUUCGUUUUCAAUUAGGUAUAUUACAGUGCCAAAUUGAGGGGGAGUCGACUACAACAAUUGACAAACUGAGGGGGAGUCGACUAGAAACAACUGUCAGGAAAUACAAAUGAGGGGGAGUCAACUUAAACAAAUGCAGAAGUCAAUUGAUAUACAGGGAAGUAAACUGGUGUUAUUACACUGUUAUUUUGUCAUCAUAAAAAAGAGGGAGAUUGUUAGAUCUACAUUUAUUUUAAUGAUGUAAAAUAAUACAUCUUUUAUGUGCAGAAAUACUCCGAAAGCAAUGGAAAGGAAGACUAUCAAAGAUUAGAGACGAAAAAGGAAGGAGUAACGGACACGCGAAGGGAAAAUAAAUCAAGGAUUUGACAACAGAUUAACAGAGAAUAUUAUAGGAAGGACCUAUAUUAAAGGAAGUCAAGAUUGUAAAACUAUGCACUGAAGAUUCCUCCAUCAAAGGAAGACAUUUAAAAGCCAAAAUCAAGGGAUAAUUUUGAUUGAUCAAAUAACGGAAAGAUCUGCUUAGCAAAGGAAAAGUCCAAGCAAGACCACAAGUCAAGGCAAAUCAACUAAAGCAACACCUUAUUCUUAGAAAGAAUCACUCUACGAUUCCUUUCAAGGAUCAAUUCCCUUGGAUUCGCAAUCUCUCGAGAUUCACAUCAAUCAAGAGUCAAGAAGACCUCACGGAGUAUAUAUACAUUUAUACCAGUCUUGAAGCCACAUACUUUGAUCAAACAAACUUCAUACUCUUUGUUCUACUCUAAACAAGCAUUGUAAUCUAAGUGAAAUUCACUGUGUAAUCAGUAAAGAGAAGAAAGAGAGAGAAAUAUUAGUGAGGCAUUGUAUAGAAAA